GACGAACGCUGGCGGCGUGCUUAACACAUGCAAGUCGAACGGUUAAGCGCCUUCCUGUUUGGUGGGUGUGGAUGAGUGGCGAACGGGUGAGUAACACGUGAGUAACUUGCCCCCUGCUUCUGGAUAACCGCAUGAAAGUGUUGCUAAUACGGGGUAUUCUGGGUCUGUCGCAUGAUGGGUCUGGGAAAGAGAUUGUUUCGGUGGGGGAUGGGCUCGCGUCCUUUCAGGCUGUGUGUGGGGUUAUGGCCUACCAAGGCGGUGACGGGUAGCCGGCCUGAGAGGGUGGACGGUCACACUGGGACUGAGACACGGCCCAGACUCCUACGGGAGGCAGCAGUGGGGAAUAUUGCACAAUGGGCGCAAGCCUGAUGCAGCGACGCCGCGUGAGGGAUGGAGGCCUUCGGGUUGUGAACCUCUUUCGCCAGUGAAGCAGGCCUGCCUCGUUUGUGGGUGGGUUGACGGUAGCUGGAUAAGAAGCGCCGGCUAACUACGUG
rnacentral:rRNA from 1 species